rnacentral:rRNA from 2 species
GGGUUGUGAGGUUAAGCGACUAAGCGUACACGGUGGAUGCCCUGGCAGUCAGAGGCGAUGAAGGACGUGCUAAUCUGCGAUAAGCGUCGGUGAGGUGAUAUGAACCGUUAUAACCGGCGAUUUCCGAAUGGGGAAACCCAGUGUGAUUCGUCACACUAUCAUUAACUGAAUCCAUAGGUUAAUGAGGCGAACCGGGGGAACUGAAACAUCUAAGUACCCCGAGGAAAAGAAAUCAACCGAGAUUCCCCCAGUAGCGGCGAGCGAACGGGGAG